AAUUUCGUGUUCUCCAAACCGAGACUUGUUCAGAGUCAUUGAAAGCCUUCAAUUUCUGACCUUGUACUAGGAAGGUCCUUCCUGCUUCAUCUGUUUCUAGAUACUUUAAAAACCAUCUAAAGUAAUUGAAAAGACCAUGCGGAAAAAGUUAACUGCUGUUGUACUUGGCGAGGCUGAUGGAUUUUUUCUUUAUUGAUGGGCCUGAGUUGGCCCGUCCGCCCAAGUUGGGCCCAAAAAGCCCGGCCCACGGGAAUAGGGCCCGUGGAUGGGGGAAGGUAUAAAAGGGAGGAGAGAGAGAGAGAGAGAGAAGACACCCUUUGGCCAUUCUAACGUACGCUUCUCACUCUCUCUUUCCCUCCAAACGCUUAAGGCACGUUGUUUCCCUUUUCAAGGCAAAUUGACAUCAUCGAAUCAGAAUUUCUUCCUCGAUCUUCAGCAUUGGUGUUUAAUCUGUGGCUAACAAGGUACGCUCGAAUCCGUGGUGUGCUUUAGGAUCGGUGAUACGUGAUUUUCCCGGGCUUCGCUUCCGCAUUGAUUUAGGGGUUCGAUUUAGUGUCGAAUCCGGUUUUCGGGGAUCCGUUAUUCUCAACAUUGGUAUCAGAGCCCUAGUUCGCGUUUUCCCGAUCUGUUUUUAUGUUUUUGUUUGAUUUUUCGCGAAAGAAAUUCGGCCGUACGGAUUGGCGCGAGAAAUCCCGACACCCGAGCACUGUUCGUCCUUUUUUCUGAGUUUCCGUAAGUCAAAAUCAAUUUCUAAAGGCACUGGGUGAAAGAGGACGCCGAGACGAGUCCGGCGACAUGUCACGCGCUGCCGGGAGACGCCGCACGUGCCCACACGCGCGGCCAGAAGCCGCUGCGCGUGGGCGCGACGCGCCAGGAAGCGCUGGCUUCGCCAGCGCGUGCGCCACACGCGCCGGUGGCGAAUCGGCAUGUGCGCGCCGGCGGCCGGCGAACCGGCACGCGCCGGUCGGCGGACCGACGCGUGUUGACGUCACCGUGACGUCACGGUAACCGCCGGGAUGACGUCAUCGGUGACGUCAUCGCCGACGACCGUUAGCCGGCCGGCGACCCGACCCGACCCAACGGCGACCCGACCCGACCCGAACCCGCGGAGCUUGGCAUGCGUGCGUCAUGUGCCGGCUGACGUCUGCGUGACGUCAGCCGCGCACGCAUGCGGAACGUGCGGUCGGUUCGUCCGACCCGGUCUGUCCGGUCCGACGUCCGACGACCGUUGACCGUUGACCGACGACCGUUGACCGUUGACCAUUGACCGGAAAAAAAAGAAAAAAAGAAGUAAUUGUUUUUCUUUUUCAUGUAUGCCUAUGUGGUUUAUAUGUAAUCAAUUAUUUAUUCUGCAUUUGUUGCAUGAAUUUUGAAAAAUUAUGUAUUUUCCCUUAUGUAAAUUAUGGAUUAUGAGUAAUCCAUUUUUAGGUUUGCAUUUGUUGCAGGAACUAUGAUGCGUUAUGCACAGAUACCUGCAAUCCCGAGAACAGACGAGGGAAAUGCAAGACUUAAAAGGCUGAUUUUAGAUUUAGCUAAUUAUCGGUGGCAUAAUGGUGAUUUAGUAUCACAUGUGGUCAAGGUCAAUAAGAUGAUACAAGAAAUCAUCAGUAAUGGUCAUCUUAUGCCGGAUUUUGAGAAGAUGCCGGUUUUGAUGAACACUCUUCCACCUGAAUGGUAAGCAGUGUUAGAUCGGCUAUGGGAGGUCAACGUGGUCCCGGGUUAUAGGAGGCUGGUGGAAGCUUUUGUAAGAGAGCACUAUAUGAUUGAGUUAACCAAAACUUCAACCCUUAGGUUGAACGCCACUUGGCGCAGAGUGAAUGCGCCUUGGUGGCGAUAUGAAUGCUCUCCAAAAGUUUUUCCAUGAUUGGCAAAUGUGCCUUCAGUUUUCUCAGAUGUUUUGAUUGAUAGAUUAGAAGGGACAUUCCCUAUUUAUUUCUUUGAUUAAUUAUGUAAUGUUUACUACCUGAUUGUUGUUGAUGUUUAAUCGAUAUGUUAGUUGUAUCAUGUGAAAGCAUUGUUAUUUUGUUGGAUGUUAAGAUUUUAUUUGCUUUCUGUUAUUGUUGGUUUCUAUGGGUAAUUAGCUGUGGGUAGUAAUAGAAGUUUUUGUAACUUCAUAGAAUUUAUUUGCAUAAGACAAUUAUAUUAAUAAUAAUUUUGAGUUAGGAUUUUUGGAGGAUGAUUGGAAAUAUAGUGACCUUUUGAUUCUGAAGCCUUACUUGAAAUUAUUCAUUAAUAUGAUGGGUCUAUGCAAAUAGGGAUGCAUAAAUGAUAGGCAUUAAUUAUUCGUGCAUGUAUGUCUGAUGUGUUCAGAACGAUGGUUCAGCAACUAAGAAUGUAAUUGCUGACAUGAACGGCAACAAUUGUGAAAUAUUGAAUAUGAAGAUUCAAUAUGUGCUGGAAAAGCAAGAAGCACUAGAAGUUCUUGACCAUGUUAUGGAAGAUCUUGAGGAUGCCAUGCGCCACCUUAAGCUAGCUGAGGACCGCCUAACGGCAUUUGAGCCGAAAAUAGAUAUUUUCAAUGCUGGUUCUAGCUCAGAAAGGGCUUUAUGCUCUAAGCGCAAGCGUAUUGAUUCGGUCAAUAUGUGGGAAUGCAAAGGAUCAAGUCCUUCUUGCAAGAAAUCAAGAGUUAACCAACACAAGAGAGGAAAACGUCCUCAAGUGAAGAAAAUGUCAAGGGUGAGAUGUUACAAUUGUGACAAGAGAGGUUACUAUGCUCGCGACUAUCGUGAGCCAAAGAAGGUAUACACCUCUUGUACAUUUGAGAACUUUGCUUAUGUGUCAAGUUCUGCAUUAUAGGCUGAAUCCAAUCCUUUGUGGAAUGUAGAUUCAUGAGCGACAGACCAUGUAGCAAAAGAUAGAGGAUCCUUCGUGGAAUUCCGACGAUACCAAUUGGAACUAAGUGGAUCAAUGUAGGAAAUAACUCAAGAGCUGAGAGUUAAAGGAAUUGGCACCUGCCAAUUGAACAUGCGCGGUGGACGCACCCUGUUCCUACAUGAUAUUCCAUAUGCUCCGGAGAUUCGUCGAAAUUUAAGUGUCUGUUUUGAUGUUGGUUAAGCUUGGUUUUAGUGUGAACUUCCAUAAUAGCUAUGUCGAUUUGUAUUUGGAUACAAACUACUAUAAUUGUGGUCACUUUCUGGAUGGUUUUAUUGUACUAGAUGUUGACUGUGGCGAUGUCAAUAUUUGUUAUUCCCUUGUUUCACGUCUUCUACUUAAUAUGAUAAUGAUGUGAUUAUGUGGCAUGCUAGACUUGGUCAUAUUGGCCAACAACAUAUGAAUAGACUAGCCAAAGAGGGCUUGUUGGGCAAUAUUGAAAAAGUCGAUUUGUCCAUAUGUGAGCAUUGCCUAGUAGGGAAAAUGACAAGGAAACCAUUUGGAAAAGGUAAAAGAGCUUAAUUUCCUCUGCAUUUAAUCCAUUUGGACGUCUGUGGUUCAAUGAAUGUGAGAGGAAGGCAUGGGGCUGUUUAUUUCAUCACAUUUAUUGAUGAUUAUACUCGAUUCGGAUAUGUCUAUUUGAUUUCUCAUAAAUCUAAAGCAAUAAGUUGUUUCAAAAGGUUUAUGAACCUGGUAGAAAAUCAAUUAGACAAGAAAAUAAAAGCAUUGAGAUCUGAUCGAGGUCGAGAAUAUUUAUUUGAUGAGUUCAGAAAAUUAUGUGAUGAAAAAGGAAUAAAAAGACAGUUGUCUAUUCCGUAUACUCCUCAACAAAAUGGUGUUGCAGAGAGAAUAAACAGAACCCCACUGGAAUGGUUAGGUCCAAGAUGGCGCAUGCUAACUUACCUAUCACUUUUUGGAGUGAUGCGUUGUUAACUGCUGCCAAUAUACUUAACCGGAUGCCUUUCAAAUCAGUUAUUUCCACUUCAUAUGAGUUAUGGACAGUUAGAAAACCGGACUUAAGUUUUCUUAAGCCAUGGGGUUGUGCUGCCUAUAUUCAUGAGUCCUCUCACAAGUUUGGGAAAUUGGGUCCCAAAGAAAAUAAGAGUAUUUUCAUGAGAUACUGCGAACACUCAAAAGGGUAUGUGUUCAUAGGUGAGCAGGAAAGUGGGAGUAUAAUUGAAUUUGAAUCACGAGAUGUCUCAUCCUUAGUGGAUGAAUUUCCUAAGAGGGGCGAAAUAAGGGAAAAUUACUCCCUAUUUGAAACCUUGGAUCAAGAUAAUGAUGUCAGUGGAGCUCGUCCAAGUGGGAGUAAUAUGAGAUGUGAUGAAUUGAAUUCAACUCAUUCUCAAUUGCAAUCACCUGAUGUGACGACAUCAUCAUUACCUAAUCCAAGUGAGAGCAUGGUGGGGAAUGAUGUGCUAAGUGUACAAUCUCCCAUACGGUGAACAAGUCGCCAAAGUAUUCCCCGUCAAUGUUUUGACAUUGAAAGGGAAACUUUUAUGGUUGCUCCACAAGAUGAGGAUGAGCCAAGAAAUAUUAAUGAUGCUCUGAAUUGCCCUAAUAAGGAAAAAUGGAUUCAUGCAAUGAAAGAAGAAAUGGAGUUAAUGAAAUCAAAUCAAGUCUGGGAACUGGUUGAUCUUCCAAAAGGACACAAAGCUAUUGGGAACAAGUGGGUUCUCAAAAUAAAGCGAAAGGCUGAUGGCUCGAUAAAAAAGCAUAAGGCUCGCCUUGUGGCGAAAGGGGUAUAAUCAACAGGAAGAAAUUGAUUAUGAAGAUAUAUUUUCUCCUGUAGUGAGAUUUACCUCGAUUCGCAUUAUUCUAGCAAUAAUGGCAAGUAUGGAUCUUGAGUCACAUCAAAUGGAUGUAAAGACUGAUUUUCUUAAUGGAGAAUUAUAGGAAGAAAUAUAUGGAACAACCUGCUGGUUUCAUAAUGAAAGGCCAAGAAGAAAAGGUAUAUCGAUUUUUAAGGUCGAUAUAUGGCCGUUGUUGACACCUAAUUUUUUGCCCAAAUUAUUGCAUAUAGAUUAAUUAAUUUAAAAAAAAAAAAGAGAAAAAAGAUUUAAAAAAAAAAAAGAAAAAAAGUUGUGGCCAAUGAUCUAAAUGUGACUAGCCAAGCCUAGGAGGUCAGAUUGGAAUUAAAAUGGCAAAUUGGGGCAAAAAUGCAAUUUCCAAAAGUUGAGGGACCAAUUCGCAAAUUUUGCAAAAUUUCACCCGAGCCCUUAAAUCAUCAUCUUAGCCCCCAAUUAAGUUGAAAUUGAACUUGGGUCAGGUCUAAUUAAUCGAAUCGGGCAAAAAGGACCUAAUUGCAUUGAAUUUGACAUUUUCGGGCAAGAAAAUGGCCAACUUUGAGGGACUCUCUUGCAAAAUUGGGUGGAGACAAUUACGAAAAAUGGUCAAGAUAUUAAACUACUAUACAUGAGGUUGCUAAUUGAUCAGAAACCGCGGCCAAAUUGAUGGAUUAAAGCACACAAACUAGCUACCAAAACCCAGCCCACGGUUAGGUCUUAAUUCGGAGCUGAUAAGUAGGCGUAUUGGUGGCCCCACCAUAUCUCACUCAGCCGCCCAUAUAGCUCGAUAUUUGCACGUGAUGGAAGACCAUAUAUAGCAGUGCAAGUGGACGGAAAUUGACCAAGGAUAAGCUCCUGACAGCACCGGAAAAUCGCAGCAAAACCUGCACACUCAACAGCUGCAGAAUUAAAAAAUUGGCUUAAGUCAGGAGAGUGGGUGGACUAGCUCAGUUGGCAGGCUUGGUAGGGGGGAAAAAAGCUGACCAAAAAUCCCUCAAUUCAGGGGAUAAGAUCACAGAAGCAAGGUCUUUCAAGCGAGGAGAGAGAGGAGACGAGAGGGACAGGAGAGAGCUCGGAAUCGUCCCCCAAAGAGGCCCUCAGAAGCAACUCCAGAAAAGCAAACCCAGAAAUUCCAGAUCAACCUUCUGAGAGAAAAGUGAGAUUUUCGUAAACCUGCAGCCAAAAUUAGCCAAAACCUUAAACUAGAGAGUGAAACUUCACUUAAAUAUCUUUCCAUCCAUAGGUCGUACGUCCAAAAUGGAUAUCUGGAAGGCCUCCUAAAGCCCCCCGAAACAGUGCCCUCCUGUCGGGCCAAGAAAGUCCGAAAUUUUUCUAAGUGUCGAGACUGGUUGGUCACGAGUGAGGAAAGCCAGUGUUUUUGAGAAAGUUGAGAGACAAAUGAGGAAAAUAUUGACUUUUAACCCAGACUAGAAUACAUAUAGUUUGGCGUGGUGUCAAUUUUUCCAACAAAAUACGUCUUGAAGUCUAAUGUUAGAGCUCAACGAAAACCUUCGUUGUCAGUUCGUUUUUUUUGCAGAUCUCAUUUCCAGUUGAAGAAGUCAACUUCCACAGGCCCCCGAGGAUAAUUUGUCGGUUUCAUCGGCCAAGAACCACUUGAAAAAGAAACUAGGAAGAAAGGUAAGCACCCUAGAUGUAUUUAUUUUCGAGUUUGAGCAUGUUUUGAUCAUGAAAAUCAAGAGGAAAACCGGCCCGGAAAACUGAUUUCUGAGGUUGAAAUUUUUCCAAGUGUUUGAAAUCUCUUCAAGAGUAUUGCAUGUGUGCUUCUUGGAGAGGUCGUUUUGAUGUUGUUCGGUGGGUCAUUCUCUGUGAUGUUUAUUGCAUUUGAAAGCUCAUGUUACCUACUUUCAUUCGGAUCAAGUAAUGUUUCCCUUAGAUCUCGUAUGUGAUAGGUGUCGGGGCUUGAAUAUGGGCACUCAACCUGUUUGCUUGACUUGGGUUCAAACCCAGAUUUGCAAAAUCAGAUCAAACCCGCAUAUUUGAUGACGAUUCCAGCUUGGUUUUCGUGUGUUUUAAGCUGUGUUUUUUAUCUAUCUUACUCCUUGCAUGUUGUAUUUUAACCUUGAUGUUUUAGUUCCACAUAAUAUUGCUCAUGAGUUGAGAUUGAAGACUGCAAACAUGGCCUGAGGAAGCUGAUUGGGGCUAGUUUAAUGCACACCAAGUGUUCGACAAAAUGCUCAAACUAAGCUUCGAUCUUGAAACGGUCGAUUUGAGCUUGAUUAUUGUGAUAUUCAUGUGCUGUGUUACUCCAUGUUAGCAUAGAUCGGUUUAAGGAAUUAUUAUUUAAAAAAAAAAUUAAAAAAGAGAAAAAUAUGAAAAUUUCAAAAAUAUCAAAAAAUGUUAGAUAGCAUCAAAUUAGGAUAUAAAUGACAUAUAUGAAAUUUUCCUAAUUUUAAAAGGUCAUUUUCCUAAUUUAAUGCUAUUUUGGUAUUUUAUAACCAUUUUUGUAAAUAAUCCAUUUUGUGUAGAUUAAAACUAUUUAAAGCAAUUUCAUGCAUAUAGAGUAAUUUCAUGCAUAUUUGAACUCUCAUUUUGCUCAUGGGGGUCCUGUCCCGGGGCGUGAUAACAAAGCCAUGUAAUAUUAUUUGCCCGACUUGUAUCGGGUUUACCUUUUCCGCGUUUAUUUUCAAGUCAUUUCAAUUUCUUGGAUGUUUACUUACGCGCCGCUUUUCAUUAUUGUGAGUGUAAAUUUCUCUUCUAAAUUAUGUUAGGAUUAGUCUAGACAUUAAAAAAAAAACUACAAAAACAUUUGCAUGGACACUUAGUGGUUUCAUAAAGAUUAUAAUUGGUAAUCAAGAUUGUAUGGCCAUUUAGAUAAACAACCUUCCAAGUUAGUGGUACCGCGAGGGCGCUAAUAGAAACAUUGGCGUAAACAAGUCCCCGUUCCUAGAAAUCUCUGGUUGCGUAUGAAUCGAGACAACACUCCCGUGUCUUGAUUGGUUUCUAGCCGACCUCAAUAGGCUAGUGGCGACUCCUAGAAUUACAUAGGUUGUUAAUAACUAAAAAACGAAUCCAACGUCGCGCGGGGUAUGGGCUUGGGAGAGCCCGCGCCUAAUCUAGGGCCAUUGGUCCACCUCUUUACGCAAAUACCCCUAAACCUUCUUCUUUUUCCCCGGACGGAAAAAAAGAGGUCGUGACAGCCGUAAGCAGUCAUCGAGACAAUGGUAUAUACGUUUUUCAUAGUGCCAAAAUGGCAUAUGAUUUUACAAUGAUAGAUGAGGAUCAUUGUGUAUAUAUCAAAAGAUACAAGGAUCAAUUUGUGAUCAUAUCACUAUAUGUUGAUGAUAUACUAAUUGCCAGAAGCAAUAUGGAGUUUGUCAAUACUGUCAAAAGUUGGUUGUCUUCCAAUUUUGAAUUGAAGGAUAUGGGAUUGUAAACCCAUAGAUACUCCUAUUGCAAAAGGUGAAUGAUUGAGCCACAGACUGUGUCCAAGGACUCCACAAGAGAAGGAACAAAUGAAACAUGUUCCUUAUGCUAGUGCUGUUGGAAGCUUGAUGUACAUUAUGAUGUGUACAAGACCUGACAUAUGUUUUGCAGUUGGAAUGGUGAGUAGAUACCAAUCCAAUCCAGGUACAGCACAAUGGAAAGCCGUUAAAAGAAUACUAAGGUAUCUAAAGGGAACUGCUGAUUAUACGCUGAGUUAUAAAGGAAAUGAUCUGCAACUCAAAGGCUAUUCUGAUGCUGAUUGUGGGAGAAGAUUUAAAUGAAAGGAAAUCUACCUCUGGAUUUGUUUUCUUACCGAAUAAUGGCACCAUAUGUUGGAGCAGUAAGAAACAAAAGUGUAUAGCCUUGUCCACGAUGUAAAUUGAGUUCGUGGCAUUAUCAGCAGCAAUGUAAGAAAGUGUUUGGCUUAAGAGAUUUUUGGAUCAUUUAGGUGUUAUUGGAAGUGCUGCAGAUUAAUUGUUGGUUAACUGUGAUAGCCAAGCAGCAAAAGCGUACACCAAAGAUCCAAAAUAUCAUGGCAAGACCAAACAUAUAGAUACCAAGUAUAAUCUUGUCAAUGAUAUGGUUGCACGAAAAGAUGUGAACUUAGAGUACAUACUAUGCAUAGAAUGGUAACAGAUCCUAUGAUAAAGCCAAUACCUAGAGAUGUGUUUUGUGGCCAUAUGAAAUCUCUAGGAUUGCGUAGAGGCUAAUGUACUAAAUAUUGUAAUUUCCCUAAGUGUUCACAUUUGAUAAAUUUGUGUUUUCAUCAUUAAUGCCUAUGAAUCUUUGUUUGAUCUUUAUACAUCUUAAUGCUCUGUGCAUUACUUUAAGUUGAGAAGUAUGUCGGACAGAUAUAAGAUUAGCCCACUCACACGGGUAAUCGCCUCUAUUUACUGUGUGAUAAAUAGAGAUGAGACUGUUUUUAAGCUUAUUAUCUAGGUGAUAAUUGAGAGCUCAAGCUUAAAACACGUAUGUCGCCUUAACUAGGUGUUAAGAUGAGGAUAUAAUACUUACUAUGUCUGAAAGUAAAAUACCCCACAUAUUUUACUUUAUCUGUCUAAGAUGCCAGAUGUGAGUUCUGAUGAAUUUUGUGAAUGAGUAGAUAUGUGAACUCAAGUUAGACAUUGGAUAUGUCUGAACUAUCAUCUGUACGGUAUUGAAAGGUGUAGACAUACGCUCCAUGGGAAAGGAGUUAAUACCGUAAUACGUAUUUCAUACUACGUAUGCAUGAGACGACCAAUAAGAGUGGCAAAAGUUUGAUCUCAACUUUUAUGCCGUGUGAGACUCUUGAGGAAUAGAGUUCCUCAGUUUUAGUCCCCUCAGGACUCUUACUUAUUCUCAAGAUUUCUAUUUAGUGUUUGCUAUCUUAGGAUGUUGCCAAUGGUCAUGAGUUUGAUUCGAUCUAAUGGGGCAUUUCUAGAAAAGCAAGCUGAACUGAAAUUGAGAGUUUGAAAGAAAGAGGAAGAUCGAAUUUGGAGAAUCGCAUUGUAUUCACCGGUUAACCAAUUAUGACUGUCUUUGUGAUAAUCAUAAUUGUGAAUAUAUAUAUAUAUAUAUAUAUAUAUAUAUCAUUGUUUGAAAGAGAUCAAGAGAGAUAUAAAUGUGAUCGAUCGAUCUAGGGUACUGCAUACUAAAUCUACUCAGGAUGUGAUACCCAUUAUGAGCUGCUAUAUAUUCCUAACAGAUGUAUGGUAACAAGCUCUCAAAUUAUGCUGGUCGCACGGAUUAUUCACCGGUAUGAAUGUUGAAGAGAGGAAAAGAGGAUUCUGUUUGGCCCACCAUGUUAAGUGAGAGUCUAUGAUGGAUUUUUCUCUGAUGGGGUUGAGUAGGGCCUGUCCGCCCAUGUUGGUUUUGGACCACCAUGUGCGAGUGGGAGAUGAUGGAUUUUUUAUUUAUUGAUGGGCCUGAGUUGGCCCGUCCGCCCAAGUUGGGCCCAAAAAGCCCGGCCCACGGGAAUAGGGCCCGUGGAUGGGGGAAGGUAUAAAAGGGAGGAGAGAGAGAGAGAGAAGACACCCUUUGGCCAUUCUAACGUACGCUUCUCACUCUCUCUUUCCCUCCAAACGCUUAAGGCACGUUGUUUCCCUUUUCAAGGCAAAUUGACAUCAUCGAAUCAGAAUUUCUUCCUCGGUCUUCAGCAUUGGUGUUUAAUCUGUGGCUAACAAGGUACGCUCGAAUCCGUGGUGUGCUUUAAGAUCGGUGAUACGUGAUUUUCCCGGGCUUCGCUUCCGCAUUGAUUUAGGGGUUCGAUUUAGUGUCGAAUUCGGUUUUCGGGGAUCCGUUAUUCUCAACAGAGGCAACCCAAGUUUAAGUAGCAGCAUGCACUUUUUCUACUUCUCUAUGUAUUCUUACUCUUGAUGAAUGGCGUUGUUUGUAGCAUCCACUCACGAGUACCUUGCUAAUUUGGCAUCAGGUCAGGUUCUCUGUCUGCAAUAUCCGAGUGAAGUGGAUAUCGCGCGUUCCUUAUCAACACCGGUGUUUGGAGGAAUGUUUGCUAAGCAAGAAAACUCGUGCAGGGGACAACAGUGAGGAAUAUAGUACUUGUUCGGAAGAAUGUAAGGCACUGUCUCAUGACUUAUCAUCGAGUGAAUGCACAAAUUCUUACUGCAUUGAGAUAUUGUGCUUUUGUAAUACAUCACAUCCUCUAACAUGACAUCACAUGUUCAAUUUCUAUUCAUCGUAAAGGCAAAAAUUGAUAGCCACAAUCGUUCAUUGGUUAGGUCGAAGUCAGAGAUUGCUUGAGCCUAUAGCUGAUGACAAGUUGGUUGAUCGAGCGGGGGUUGAAGGGUGGGGGUGAGAGCUUUUGAUGGAAACAAGAGAGAUUCGUUGCUCAAAAUGCAAACAUUACCAUGAAGAAAAAAUUACAUUGUUUGUUAUGCCAAGAGGGUUCACACAAAACAAAAAUUAUAACGAAUGCCAUACAACAUUCAUUGUCAUUUAUAAAACAUGGACAUAAUGAGUCUAAUAGAAAACACCGAUGCUAUAUGAAAAACAUGUAAAAGCUUCAUAGAUUACAUUAUCAAUGAUGGUACAUGCUGAUAGUAUUAAUUAUAUUUUGCAUCUCAUUUCUACAAGAGGAGAACAAUUAGACAAUACAUGAUUUUGUAAACUUAUUGCCGUGGUCAAAUUAAUAACUGCUAGAAAUUAUCGGAGCACUUGACGAAGAUGAGACCAUUUCAAGUUCUAUCUCAUUGUUGUCAUCAUCAAUUGGUGCCUCUAUCGGAUACAAAAACGGUUUUGGAGGUAGUUGCAGUUUAUCAAUAUCUCCUUCAAGCAUAUCUAGAACUUUCCUCAUUGACGGCCGAUCAUUAGGGCUCAGCUGUAUGCACCAUAGCGCAACGAUUAUCAUCUUCCUUGUUUCUCUUUCCUCUUCUAUGACUUCUACCCUCUCAACCUCCUUUUCUUUGCUGAGUUGAUCAUAAAUCCACAAAGGAAAGUAAAUUUGACUCGAAUGCUCUGCAUGUGCAUUUAUAUUUCUCCUUCUACCGGCCAUUUCCAUCAACAUCAUCCCAAAACUGUAAACAUCGGCUUUAUAAGAAAUGCCACCAAUGUCUUUGUAGAAUAGCUCAGGUGCCAUAUAACCCAAGGUUCCUCUUGCUGCAGUCAACGAUACUAUGCUAUGACCGAUGGGAUAAAGUCUUGCAAGUCCGAAGUCAGAAAUUUUCGGAGUAAAACUUUGGUCUAGGAGAAUGUUGUGAGGCUUGAUAUCAAAGUGUAGAAUUUGCAUAUCACAUCCCCGAUGUAGAUACUCUAUCCCUCUAGCUAUGCCAAGAGAGAUCUCAUGCAUUUUCUUAUAAUCAAGAGGAUCAUCACCAUCCUUAUUCGAAAUGUGUUUAUCCAAAGAUCCAUUCGGCAUGAAAUCGUAGACCAAAGCUUGUUUGGAGUAAUCGAAGCAAAAACCAACAAGUUGAACUACAUUGACGUGGUGGAUCCUUCCAAUUGUGGCCACUUCACUAAUAAAAUCUUGGCCGUUAGAUUUUGGUUUGUUCAAAAUCUUAACCGCAACUUCAUUGCCACUUCUAAGGAUUCCUCUAUACACAGAGCCAUAUCCCCCCUCACCUAAUUUGCAUUUGAAAUUUUUUGUAAUCUUCUUGAUAUUUGAAUAAUAGUACCUUAUGGGCAGAAAGUUGUUGUGAGCUUGUAGGAAUUCUUCGAUGUUUGUGUCGAAUGCCCUGUGCCUUCUCAUCCACUUAUAGAUUAGAAGUAUCAGCACACAUAGAGCUCCGAGUAUGAAUCUUGCUGCGACGUAGCAGUUGGCUGCGUAGAAAUUGUCCAUAGAUUAGCGCACUGCAAUAAAUUUUUUAUAAACAUAAUUGUUUUUAAUCAGUGAUCAUCAUGGUUGUGAGGAGAAAAGGCCCAGCAGUCAUACCCAAGGAAAAGGCGAGGCUCUGACGUACAGGUGCCGCAUACCAAUGCCUGACCCACCCAGAAUUAGGGGUGCCUGCAACAGAUUAAUUAGAGUCGGUGAUCAAUCAAUGAAGAAUUAAAUUUAUCAUUUUAGCAGUUAAACAUAAAUAUAAUUUACUCUCCUUGACAGCGCUCAGAUCACAGUUAAUUUAAUUCACCUAGGGAAUCCAUGCCAUCGUAGCAUGACAUUUUCUCUUGAAGAAAAGCGAUUUUGCUUUUGUUCACCUAUAUAUACCAAAUGAUUCAUAAGUUCACGUCUCGCUCCGCGUAAUUCUGAUUUACAAACGUCAUUCAAUACGCGUGCAGUUUAUUCAACCGCAUAACAAUAACAGCCGUGCAAGGGACACGAGCAACAAUUAAAUCAACCAUUUCCCCCCAAACGAAAAUGAAGUAACAAUGUCAAAUCCAGAAAAGCUCCAAGAUUCGUAAAAUAAACGAGAGCAGUGCAUGCCGACCCUACUAAGAAAUCUAUUUAAACUUUUCAACUUAAGUGAUGUGGCAAUUUUUUCUUUUAUGUUUUUAAAGAAACUAGUGCCUUAAUGUGUGGAAUUUAUUAAAAAUACCCAAUUAAAACCUGCCACGUCACUUGGUAAGUAAAUUUUGAUCAGAUCUCUUAGUGAAGCUAGCAUUUAAGGAAAGGAGGAGGAGGAAGAAGAGAAGAAGAAAGAACAGCUUAAGGGAACAUCGCUUACGGAAAUAAUAGCCGCAAUCCUCCCUUCGGUAUCCAAAACUUAAGAAGUAACAUGGAAAGAAUCUUCCCUCAAAAUUGUAGGAUGGAUAGGAGAGAUUGAAUCCCUCGACCAUCAGGUUGUGGAGGUCCUUGUAUGGUAAGCUCCCAUUCUGAUUUUCUUUCCGCCCUGAGAUUUGAUUCCCUGUGAGUGCCAUCAUAAUUACGGUGCAAGAGUCCCUCAUAUCCCUUAGUCGUAAUUGCUGUACAGCGUAUGAGUACACCUUCAUUUGGGAAAUAUAAGGAGGUGUGCUGGCAGAGUAUGCGUCCUCAAUACAUGGCGUGACAUCAAUAUAAUUAGUAGAAGCGACAGGUCGUGGGCACUUCAUGAAGGCCACGGACUCUGAUGAGCGUGCAUCAAAAAUGUUGGAUGGAUCAUCCAUACUGAGGUUGAAGCGCGCCAAUGAGUAACGAGGAAGGGAUGAGCAAUCAUUCUUUUGCAGUCCAUCGUCAACCACCGUGAUAUUACCACGGAAUAUAUCUUUAUUAAAAGAGGAACUAUAAUGAAUCGACUUCACAUAAUAUUGGCCGGCAUGUAGAUAUAGAACAGUGCGGUUAUUUUCACAAGCUAGCUCAUAGAGAGAGUUACCGCAGUUUUUUGGAUCACCUUUCAAUCGAAAAGGAUAACUUAUAUUAUGGAUCUCACCGCAAGAUGAAGCACACAAGUGAUUCUUCUUCGCAUGGCAGCUCGUCCCUAACAAUAGCAGAACAUGAGAUAUGAGAAGUAAAACAGGGAGCAUGAAUAUCGAGCUGCGAGAAAUAAUCAUCUCUUUAUGGUUUGGUCUGAUGCAAUGGAAGUUUUAGCUCACUUGGUAAUGCGAGGGAUGCUUAAUAAAGGGUUGGGAGUCAUCGGUCAUCGAAAUGUCCAAGUCAACCCUAAAACAAAGUCUAGCGAAGAAAAACUUAAAAAGUAUGGCCCCGCAAAAACACGAUCUCGAGUGAUAGAUAGCUUUCACAUUCAUUAGGGAGGAAAUUUCUCUGCAUUUUCCAGAUUUGAUUUUUCUUGGCAAAUUAAUUCUCUCUAGAAAUUUAUUUUAGUAUCUUAAAAAAUAAUCGGUUUGUUUUGUACCCUAAACUCAAUCAAAAUCCUUUCAAACAAGGCAUCUGGCGUUCUAUUUUAUUUUCAAGGCCAAUAUUUCAUAAGUGUCGCUUCGUUAAAUUUUGAAGACGAAAAGGAAAAGGAUGAUGUAUUUCAUCAUAUAAAUAUUUUCAUUUUUGAGAAAAAAUAAAUUAGUAACCAAGAAAGAGGAUAAUGUUAAAUAACGGGUACAUAGAUUUUAACUUUUGUAAUGUCGCUUUCCACAAAAAUAGAAAGAAAAUAAGGAAUGGGCGCUUCUUGCUUAUGGAUGAUGUGAAACUUUAUGAAAGAAAGAAAGCAAUAUGGUAAAUUCUCAACUAGUGAUGGGACCGACACAUCUCGAUUAGAAACUCAAUUGCGUUGUCGUGGAUUGACACACGCAAGGACUAUAGAUGCAACAUUUGAAUUCACAAAAAUAAUGUGACGUUUACUUAUUCACUAUGCUUAAAUUUUAAAAUCACUAUCUUGUAAUUGUGCUAUAAUUAUGAAUAUGACCAUCGUCUCUUUUUCAUUAUUGAAUCACUUAAUGAAUGAACAUACUGAUCUCAACGAAAAAGGCAAUAUGAUCAUUUCUCAACCAAUGAUCAAUCAAUGUGGGUCUCGAUUAGAAAUUCACUUCCUUCGUCAUUCUUGACAUGCGCAAAGACUAUAGGUGUAAUAUUCACUUGCACAAAAAUAAACUAAUACGUACUUAUUCACUGUCAAUUGAAAUAUUAUUCUUGUGGAUUAGUCAAUCACUCGCCUAUAAAAUAAUCUCAUCUUUUUCUCGCAAUAAAUCUAACCAACCUAUUACAAUAUCCAAUUGAAACGAGCCACAUCACUCGGUAAGUAAAUUUUUAUACGAUCCCUCAGUAGAGCUAACAUUUAAGAAAAGGAUGAGGAUGAAGAAAGAAACAAAGAAAGAACUGGGAAAGUCAGCUUUCGGUAAUCAUGGUGUCUGCACCUCUCCCUUUGGUAUCCGAAACCUAAUUAGCAAAACUCGAAACUUGUUGGUGGCGAGAGUUUAUAAUUAGGAGAUAGUGAAUCCCACGACCGUCGUGUUGUGGAGGUCCUUAUACGAUGAGCUCGCACGAUUAUACCGAUCCUUUUUCCACCCUGGGAUAUAAUGCGGUAUUAAAGCCUUUUAUGGUUAUGGUGUAAGUAUCCUUGAUGUCCCCUACUUGGAGGUCAAACCCAUGUACAACGUAUGAGUACACCUUCAUUUGGGAAAAAAUAGGGGGCAUAUCGGAAGGAUAUGCUCCCUCAAUACAUGGUUCAGUAUUGGCUUACGAAGUAGAAGCAAGGGGCUGUGAGCACUUCAUGAAGACCACCGGCACAGCUAAGAACCACAUGGAUCAUGAUCACUAAAGUUGGAGGGCGCCAUUGAGUAAUGAGGGAGGGAUGAGCAAUUACCUUUUUGCAGUCCGUUGUUUCGCCAUCAAAUAAUUAUUUGCUAUGAUUGGAAUGGUAGUAAAUUGAUUUCACAUAAUAUUGGCCAGCAUAUAGAUAUAGAACAAUGCAAUUAUUUUCACAAGCUAGCUUAUGUUCAUAGCGGCCAUAUCCAUUUGGGUUGCCCUUCAAUUGAAAGGGAUAGCGUACGUUAUGGAUUUCGUCGCAAGAUGAAGCAGCACACAAGUGAUUCUUCUUUGCCACAACUCGUUCCUAGUAGUAGAACACGCAAUAUGAGAAGCAAAGCACAUAACAUGCAUACGGAGCUCAGAGACUGAAUCAUCUCUCAAUCAUUUGAUCUGAUGCAAUGAAAGUUUUAGCUAUUUGGUAAUGCGACGGAGGCACAGUAAUAUGAAUGAAAAGAGUUGAGAGUCGUUGGUCAUACAUAUGUCCAAUUUAACCACUAAAACAAAGUCUAGCGAAGAAAAAGUGGGUAUCACGGAGAAAUUGCAGUGAAGGUGACCAAAAACCGUGUUGGAAUUGUCGGUCAUGCAAAUGUUCAAGUCAUCCAAUACAAUUCUUUUCGUCUUCACAAUUUAUUGAAGCGAUACUCAUGGAAUAUUGACCUUGAAAAUAAAAUAAAACGCCAAUACCUCACUCGAAAUGAUUUUUUUAUUCGUUUUAACGCACAUAACAUUCAAAUUGAUUCUUUUUCAUGGUACGAACAGUCAAUUUUGCCAAGAAAAGUCAAAACUGCAUUCAAUUUUGCCAAGAAAAGUCAAAACUGGAAUUGCAGUCCUCGUAGGCAAGGUGACAAAACACGGUGUUGGAAUUAUUUAUGGUUAGCUUUCACAUUGAUUAGUCAAGGUGACAAAACACAAUGUUGGAAUUAUUUAUGGUUAGCUUUCACAUUGAUUAAAAAAGAAGCUUCUCUGCAAGUCCAGUUUUGACUUUUCUUGGCAAAAUUGACUGUUAGUACCAUGAAAAAGAAUCGAUUUGAAUGUUAUGUACACUAAAAUGAAUAAAAAAAAUCCUUUCAAGUGAGGCAUUUGCGUUCUAUUUUAUUUUCAAGGUCAAUAUUCCAUGAGUAUCGCUUCAAUAAAUUGUGAAGAUGAAAAGAAAAAAAAGAUUUAUUUCAUUGUAUAAGCUUUUUCAUUAUUGACAAAAAAACAGAAUUGGUAACAAAGAUAGACUAUUAAAGGGAAUAUUAACUUGUAUAAUGUCACUUUUGAAAAAAAUAAAAGGAAAAAUAAGAGUUAGUGCUUCUUGGAUGGUGUAACACUUUAUGAAAGAAAGAAAGCAAUUCAAUAAAAUGUAGCGAUGGGACUGAGGCGCAUUGAAUAAAAACUCACUAAUUUCGCUAUACAUGCAAUAUUCAAGUUCAUUAAAAAAAACAAUGUUUAGUUAUCCACUAUUAACUUCAAUAUUACCAUCACUCUCCCGUAAUUGUGUUAGAUAUAUGAACAAUACUAUCAAAUAAAAAAAAAUUAUUAUUGCUUGUUGUUGACACUUAAAUUUUUCUUUUUUAUUUAGGAUUUAAUCAUAUAGAAAAUUAGGGAUUAAUCUCUAAAAAAAGUAAAAACUAAAGUAAAUAAUUUUCAUUAAAAUAUAUCACAUUUUCAUUAAAUUGCAUCGCAUAUAGACAUUAGGAACACUUGCAUUACUAGUAUUAAAAAAAUUAAAAAAAUUAACCAAAAAAAUGCAGCCGGGCCGCGAGGGCCAGCCUUAGCCCGGCCCCUCCUUCCUUUCUCUUUUCUAUUUUCCCCCCGUGCGGCCCAGCUUGCUUCUGUUUCUUUUAUUUCCCCCGCGCGGCCCACCUUUCUUCUUCCGCAGCCCAGCUCGCUCUCAUUCCUUUUGCCCCCUCCUUCCCUAGCUUGGAUGUUAGCUCCAGGACAGAGCAGAGAGAGGGUCGCCGGCGGAAGGACGCAAGGCUGCGCGCGACGUUCGCCCAGGAAUGUCCUGCGGUACGAAGCCAGCUGGUCUUUUCCGUGAAGAAAGGGAGAGAAAGGCGGCAAAGGAAAGGGGGGUCUCUCUGGUUUUUUUGGGUUUGUUCGGCUGAGGAAGAGCAACCGAGAGAGAGAGAGAGAAAGAGAGAGAGAGCUGGUGAGAGUGAGAAGGCAAGCUCGAGAGAGAGAAUGAGUGAGCCAGAGAAGAGAGGGAGCUCGAGGGUGGCUGCUUUUGGAAGGGUGCGGCUGAAAACCAAGGAGAGGCUAGAGCCGCUCGAGAGGGGAGACCGAGAAGGUGGAUAGCGAGGAAGAGCGGGAGAGAGAGGCGACUGUGUUCUCGAGUUCUUCCGGGGAGGCUGGAGAUAGCGAGAGCAACAGAGAGAGUGAGAUCCGAGAGAGUGAGCAAAGGGUGAAGCGGAGAGAGAACCGAGAAUGAGCGGAAGGAUGGACCGAGAGAAAGCGAGACCCAGGAGCCGAACUUCGUUCUCGGACAAGCGUUAUGCAGCCAUCCCCAACAUAAACCGGCGAUCUCCAGCCAACACCCUCGAGCACGUGGUGAGUUUUCUUUGGGUUCGAUCCACUUUUAUCUCGAUGAUCCUGGCUCGGUGCAACGUCGAGCCGGCCGACCGUAGCUCGUUUCGCUUCAGGCUCACCUUCUGGCCGUCGUCGCCGAGCCAGGUAGGGAUAUUCGUGGUCAAACACUUCUCUCUGGGAACUCCGUUGCUUGGUUUCAUUUAAGACGGAACUGAAACGAUAGCUGGGUCUCGUUCUCCCUAGUCCACCAGCAUGCUCGAUUUGAACGAGCCGUCCCUCUUGACGAGUUUGAGUCGUCACUUGCUGCUUUCUUUUGAGUAAAUGACUUGAGGAGUGCUGCCAUUUUCGUUCUCUGUUGAUGGUUGCUUGAAUAUGCUCAAGACUCCUCCCUUUCGUUUCAGGAACACACCCUUUAAAUUCCCCCCUGGAGUUUCUGCAUGAAAAUUGAUUAUUCACUGGUUUAAUAGCACGCGAGUAAUGACUGGACUUUAUCUAUUUAGAUAUGGUGGCAGACUUUUGGCUAGUUAUGCACUGUUCAGAAUGCCAGAUUCAUUUGUAGAGGUUUAUAGAGGAAGAAUUUUGUUUACUGUUUUUCUAAAUUAUACAACAGGUAUUUAUAAUUUGCAUUUCUAAAAUGUAAUUUCCUUUCAAUUUUGGGAGAGAAGGAUCGCAUUGUUUCUUGGUGCAACUGGGCAGAAGUUUCUAUCUGUGUAUUGCUCGUGUGGCACUUAUAUUGAUUUUUCCUCACAGUUUACUUGGUGACACCCAAUCACAUAUCGUUUGGCUACAUUUUGCUCCUCCUAUGUUGGAUCAUGGGAAGACAACUCGUUGAAAGGACGAGAAGACAUUUUUAGUUUUCAUAAAAAGUAUAUGCAAUCACUGUGUUUAUCUUCAUAUACAGCUUGAGCAAUUUCUCCACCCUUGAGAUGUGGUUUUCGGGGUUGAUUGAUCUUCAGUUUUACUUGGCCUCCAACUCAUAAGCUUUGCUAUUGCAGAAUAUUUGGCAGUCUAUUGCAAUACUGAUUGUGAUGCAGCUUUACAGCUACGAGAGACAGAGCAAGUAUAUCCAAUCUGAUGACUCCAAACUUAUGGAAUUUAAAGUACUUGGAUUUAUUAAGAGUUUCCUCAUUUGGCUCAGUGACAAGAUAGUGUGUAUAGCAAAGUUCUAUGCAUCAUUGUCACCAAUUAGUCUCUUUGGUUUCCUUUAUCUACUCGGUCUUGUCAUUUGUUCCCUUUCACCUAAAGCAUCUCGAAUCCCAUCAAAGUUAUUCCUUCUUUAUACAGGAAUUCUGGUGAUGACAGAAUAUCUCUUUCAGAUGUGGGAUGCCCAGGCAGGAAUGUUUCCUGGACAGAAUGACUUUAGUUUGGCCAAGUUCUUGGGUUUUGAGUUAUUUCAGUCAGGCUUUUGGGGUCUAGAAUUGGGUUUAAGGGGGAAAAGUGCUGGUGAUAUCUGCUCAAUACAAUGUCUUCCGUUGAUUGCAAAAAGUACCAACUCACAUUUUUUCCAAAGAUUACACCAAAGAACCUUGCCCUCUGUUUGUAUCAGCAGAAGAAGUGUUUGGGGAUUUUUCGAAUUCAAACGGGGAAAGCAAGCCACCUGCAGAGAAUCUUCAAAGGGAAGGCUCCGGCGACGGCGAGGGGGAGCCUCGAGAACGGCAGUAGCGGCGGCGACCCCCGCAGCGGCCGGCAGGCGUACAGGAGCACGAGGACGGUGGUGGAGGUGCUGCGGGAGCUGGAAGUGGACAUAGUGGCGCUGCAGGACGUGAAGGCGGAGGAGGAGAGGGAGAUGAAGCCGCUGUCGGAGCUGGCGGCGGUGCUGGGGACGAGCUACGCGUUCGCCGAGAGCUGGGCGCCGGAGUACGGCAACGCCGUCCUCUCCGGGUGGCCGAUCAAGCACUGGAAGGUCCAAAAGAUAUUCGACGACACCGAUUUCAGGUCCGUCAUUUUGUUUUGUUUUAUUUUAUUUUAUUUAUUAAUUUAUUAAUUUCCACAUAUUUUUUACCUGUUAUUCUUGCUAUCAUUUUCGUAAUUAUGGUGACGAUGAUAUGCUCUCUUUUUCAUUGAGCAAGUGGUCUUCCUAGGCGAUUUCGGAAUUUAAAAGAUAUUUUCAUUUAUUUAUUGAGGCGUCCACCGUUGAAAGCGAAGUUUGAUAAUAUAUCAUAAAUUAAUAUUUCCACUGGACACAUUAUAUAAUUUUUUUUAUAUUUUCCAAGUGGAAAGAUUAAUUUCGCAGACCAUCUACCACAGUGCAAAUCCACUUCGGACAGUUGAAAUUUUCGUUGAAAUUAAGGUAAGGUGGAUGUAAUAAAAAUUCACAAGACCAAAAAAUAAAAGCAAAAACAUAAGCUUUUGCCUAGCCAUCAGAAUUUGUGGAUGAAAAUCUUGCUGUCACUUGGUUUAUAUUUUGUCUUCUUUUUUUCCCUACCCUUUUUUAAACUGUUCUAUUUGGAAUUAUAUGAAUGGAGUUGUCCAGGAACUGUUCUGGGAAGAAUUUGGAAUAUUAUUCACGAGAACCCUACCACCAAAAAAAUUCAAGAAUUCCCCAAGGCUUUUCUCCCACAGCCUGUUUGCCUUUGUACAACUUAAGGAAAGCUAUCUACAACAACUAUGGUGGGCCUUUCCAAGGAUCCCAGCACCAGCUGUGAGCAAUGCCAGUCAGAAGUAAAAUAUAAAUUAAAUUUUUAAAAAAACAACAACAACAACAAUAACAAUAAUAAUAAUAAUAAUAAUAAUAAUAAUAAUAAUAAUAAUAAUAAUAAUAAUAAUCAUCAUAAUCAUCAUAAUAAUAAUAAUAAUAAUAAUAAUAAUAAUAAUAAUAAUAAUAAUAAUAAUAAUCAUAAUCAUCAUCAUAAUCAUCAUCAUCAUCUGUUAUAACUAUUCGAAAUUCGUGCGAGUGUGUGUGAUGAAAGACUGUCUUGGACCUCUUUCAUUCCAAUUACAUAUAUAUUUUUUGCGCUUGAGUAUUUAAAUAAGGGGGGGAAAGGGGAUAAAUGAAGGAUAAGAUCUAAGGCGUACAUUAAAUGAGGGCAGGGUAAGGUGUAUGUAGGUAGGACAGUAACAUGGGGAGGAUUUUGCUUUUGCUUUAUUUUAUGUAUUUGCCAAAUCAGAUGCUUGACCUGAAGACUAUACAAGGACUACUCAUCUUCAAGGAAAACUACAUUUAUUUUAAGCGAGACAGACCAGAUAGAAUCAACUUGUUUGAGACACAAUUGCUUGUCAUGGAGUCAAUUUCCAAGGCUUUUGCGUUCGAUUAAUUAAGCCGCGCCUUAGAUAGUGAAGGGAUUAUGUGCUUUCGUUGUGCGAAAAUUCAGAAAAAGAACAAAAGGGUGGAUUGAAAUAUAAUUGAUUGACAUAUUAAAUUGAUUAGGAAUUGAAGUGGCUGUGAACUCGAUAUGUUUUAUUACACAGGAAUGUUCUGAAGGCAACAAUAGAAGUGCCCCAUGUUGGGGAAGUGAACUUCCAGUGCACCCACCUGGAUCAUCUCGACGAGAACUGGCGGAUGAAGCAAGUCGGCGCCAUCAUCCAGUCGAGCGACUCUCCCCACAUCUUGGCUGGUGGCCUCAACUCUCUCGAGGAGACCGAUUACUCGCAAGAGCGGUGGACCGACAUCGUCAAGGUAUGUACAUUUCUGUCAUGUUUGAUGUGAUAUUCGUUAGCACAUCAAACUCGAUUACUAAAUAGCUUAAGCUACGGCGAUUUUGUAAUCAUGGGCACAUGUGUUUGUUACAGUACUAUGAAGAGAUGGGAAAGCCGACCCCAAAGGUUGAAGUCAUGAGGUUUCUGAAGAGCAAGCAGUACACAGAUGCUAAGGACUUUGCUGGAGAAUGCGAGUCCGUGGUCGUCAUUGCCAAAGGACAAAGUAAGGACUCACUUGUUCGCUUUCCCAUCUUUCAAUUUUUCUUUUUCGCUCUAUCAAAUGGCUAAUCUAAGGUGCUUUUCGAGCAAGAUGCUCCUCUUGCUCGAUGAUCACAUGAUUGGCUUGAAUGGACGGAAAUUCAUAACAUCUGAAGCAUGAUGAUCAUGUUGAAUAUAUACAUCCGUUGUUGUUAUCACUUUGUCGAUAUCAAUCUUUGAUGUGAAAAUCCGUGUUAUAAAAAUUGAAGUCCAAAGUCUUUUUUACGAGUGAUUAUUGUUUGAAUAUGUAAUUUGAAACUGUUUAUUCUAUUGCAGGUGUGCAAGGGACGUGCAAAUACGGAACGAGGGUGGACUACUUACUGGCAUCACCAGAUUGUCCAUACAAGUUCAUUCCAGGGUCGUAUUCGGUCCUGUCAUCGAAAGGGACAUCGGAUCACCACAUCGUAAAGGUCGACGUAACGAAAUGCGAAAACAACCCUCCCCAUGAAAGCAAUGGGAACAACAAUAAAAUUACCAAGAAAAGGCGACGACAGUGCAAGCACCAGGCUGUUGUAAAGAUCUCAGGCACAGCUCCUCCUUCGAAGGGUAUAUGGACAACGAACACAUUAAGCAAAGUCGAAUGACAUUACAUUUAUAUCUCCCUUUUCUUUCCACUCUUUUCUCAGCUGAUGCUCCUGUUGCUGCUGUUGAGUGAACUUGGGCAUGCUGGCUUCGUCAAUCUCUGUGUAAAUCUUUGAUUGUUUUGUGCAUCUUGUCUUCUUUGUUUUUUUUUUUUCUUCAGUUUAGCGUUGAAGAGGGGAGGGUUCUGGUGUGAUGGCUUCCUCACAUCUGUAUAGAUUUCGACACGACAGAAGUGAAUUCUUACGUUUCAACUAGGCAUUGGAGCUAAGCGGUUCUGCCAAGUUCUUUUUCAGUAUUUUAUGCCUUUUUUUUCCGCUUGUAAUCUUAGCUGCAAGAUUCAGAUUAGUUUUGUCGAGGGCGACAUCUCAAGUUGACUUUGCUGAGGUUGAGGUUAGAGAAUGCGAUCUUGUAUCUUUACAUUUAAUUGGAAGUUGAAACGUUUUAGAUUAAAAGUCCUUGGAAUAAAAUUGCAAAUUUCGAAAAUUGAUUUUUUUUUUUUUUGGUUAAGUUGGACAUCAAGUGAUUGAUAAAAGACCCAAAGAUUUCAAAUGAAAUACCUUUAAAAAGCAAAUAAGGAAAAAAAAAAAAAAAGCUGCGAAGUCUGGUAAUUAUGAAUUCUAAACAUAUGUGACAGUAGUAAAUGUCUUCAUUCUUUUUUCUCCAGUUUUGAAAUUAGCAUUGGAAAGAAGAAAAAUGGUAAGUUAGUGCAAUCUACUUCGACAUCUUAACAAAUACCUUCUGUGAUCUCUAAAUGGAGCCUUAAUGAGCAUUAUAAGUAAAAGUGUAAUGAAAAGAGAAAGAAAUAGAUUUUCUAUAUAAUAGACAUUGUUGGCUGAUGUAUCGUGCUAAUUAGCUUAUGAAUAAAAAACUGCAUCUUCCUUAUAAUGGUUGGCAAACUGCACCCCUUGCAUCAGCAUUGUAGAGGACUCAAGUAUCUCUCAAUUGGCGUAUACUCUUCAAUUGAUCCUCCUUGAUGUAAUUUAUAUCGAUUGAAAUAUUUAUUUUGAUUUUGCUUGGGAUCUCAAUUUAAAAAAUCAUGGGAUCUAUAAAGCUUAGAUAACAACAAGAGGAAUUAAAAAAAAAAAAAAAAACAGUUAAGACAUUGCAUCAAUAUCGUUGAUCGGUAAGAAUCCUGGUACUUGCGACCUUGCAGGUCUGCUACUCGGGACCUCACUAAUAUAUGACAUUAAAAAUAAAAAUAAAUUUUAAAACUUUUUUUUAAUGGGACAAAAAGAUAAUUAAUCAUUAAUAUUUGAUACUUCUGCCGUUUGUUUAAGGGCUAUGCUAGUAGGUCACAUGACACGUCCAAUGACGUUUUCACCGCACAUGUUUUUUUUUUUUUUUUCUAUAGUGAUAUAGUCAGUUAUUAAAAUGUUGUAUUUUUUUCCCCUUUUGUUGCAAAUUUCCCUUCUAUAAAUCAUGAACACGAACACGAGCACAAAAUUUUUUCAUCGAAAUAAGUGGUCUAUUUAGCACGUGUUGAUACCUUUAAUUAUUUUAUAUAUCGUGAAUAAACUAUUAAGUGAUGAUUGGACAAAUUAUUAAACAUAAAAAUCUCUUGACGAAAGUAUCCUAAAUUAUCUUGCGAGUGUAUGCUGAAAAUCUAGACAUACAUUAUUGUAUUUUAGGGUACAAGAUUGGCUCUCUCUUUGUCACUGAUUUUGUAAGUGUCCUAUUGCCUUUGGAUGGUAAUUCUUUUUGUAACCGUUCGACUUUAAAAUCGGCAAUGACCAGGAGUAACCAUCAUUGAUCAAGCCCUCUUAAGUGAACACUUAAAAAGAAUUAGUCUCUUAAUCGUUGGAAUUGUGUUAAAUCAGAGGCAUUGUUGGUAGAUAUCAUGAAUAAUGGGAAAAUUUUCAAAUAAAUCUAUUGCACUUUAGCCAAUUAAGUCAUAAAUCUUUUAAUUAUGUCAAUUGAAUCCUCAACCUUUUCACAUUUUGCCAACUAAGUUUAUUAGGCCAAUUUUAAGAAAAAAUAAUUGAUGUGAAUGCCAGCUAUCUUAUGUAAGAUGGUCGAUACUAAUGUUGGCAAAUUUUUAUAAUUUUUUUAAAGAAUGGAUUUUUUUAAUAUAUAUAUAUUUAUUUAUUUUACCGUAGCUUGUGAGAGUUGUCGGGUCCUUGCAACUACUAGCAAAGACAGUGACCCUUGCCGGACAUGGCGAAAAAAAGUAAAGGAGGAAAAGAGAAGAAAAGAAAAAAUGGAAAAAGAAGAGAAAAAUGUUCAUAAAAAUUAAAAAAAAAUGUUUAAAAUAUUUUAAAAAUUCUCCACGUUAGCGCCACUUGUGUCAUGUAAGAUAACCCGUGUCCAUGUCAGUGAUUUCCUAACAAAAUUGGCUAGAUGAACUCAGUUGGCAAAAUGUGAAAAUGUUUAAAAUUCAAUUGGCAUGGCUGAAAGAUUAAUGACCGAAUUGGUAAAAGUACAAUGAGUUUUUUCCGGUAAUUUUCCCAUGACUAACUAGCAUCUCUCUUCCAUCCUGAUUCUGAUCAUAGUUUAAACAGGGCAAAGUCCCAAACUUAUCUAAAGAACUUAAAUCUCCAAAAGAGAUGCAAUAUCUAGUAUAAAGUUCACACUUUAUGACUUGUGUCCAAUCACAUAGCGUUGCUGGAACAGAUAGUUUGGAGACAUGUUUCAGCUGGUCUUCUUAUAUGCUAAACAUGAUAUCAUAAACAAACCACUAAGAAGGUUAGUUAGUAACCUUUUUUUUAUCGUUUGCCAAGCAUGUCGUCUCCAUCAUCUUUCAAUAAAUUCUCAAGUGGCAUUUGUAGAGAAACGUUUUCAUCUCGGCUCACUGGCAAACUGAAAAUUGUAAUGGUCAUGAGUAACGAUAUUUAAAAGCACUCGUGUAGUUCUUCGCCUGUUAGUAUGCUAAACAUGGAAAAUGUCGAAUCAACAUCAAUUUAACACUGUCUUUACUCGAAUAGCUACAGAACUAUGUAAGAAAACACAAGGAGCAAGAAGAGAAUCCCGAAGCUCUAGACAUGGCAUGACCAUGAAAACUCCACCGAGAGCUGGUUUUUGGUCCUCGGAGUAGAUGUGAAAAUGUUGCAGAAUUAAAAAAUAAGCAAAGAUUAUUCGUAUCUAGCACUGUAAGCUUGCUCGAUAUAGAGUGAAACAAAGGGACAUUGCAUAGAGUUUGCACCUAUAUGAAGUUCAUGAUGGCCGGGAGUAAUCCGCGCCACAUGACCUCAACUUAAGUGCAUCGCCGUAUCAAUAAUCAGUUCUUCCACAAGUGAAAUUGAUACGCAAUUUACACCCGAAUUGUCCUCUAUUCACCUUUCACUUGGGGAUGGUUUUCCAUGAAUCUCUUCGAGCUCCUUGAGCCUGUUAUCGAGUGCUCUUCUAAGUGAGGCCAUCUGUAUAUGAUCGUUUGCUUCUGGAAGUCGGUUUAUGGAGACCUUGAAGUUCAGCCUAUGAAUUUUGCUGUACACUAGACGGGUCCUGUUGUCGUACUUUGAACACUUAUGUGAGGCUUCAAUUGUUCUCGCCUUCCUUUCAUGGUGCAGAAGAGCAGCAAAUGUCAAAGGAAUUGGAAGAGACAGUUCCACAGCCUCCAGUCACAAUGAAUGGUCUUUCUCAUCAGGACGAUUUUCCAAUGAGCGUGAUGAACUGCAGGAAUAAGUAAGAAACUCGAUUCUUGAGAUGUUUCUGUCUCAUAUCGUUUACUUUUUCUCCAUUGCGUCUAACAUAGUACCUACUCUAGUGAUUAGCUUAACUUUUCAUUUCAAUCUGAAAGCUACUCACCUACAUUUAUAGGAUUCUUAAUAUAAAUUACCUGCUUGUGCACACUAUCUUACUUGGCGAAUUCUGUCAUCUGCGCUAGUUUAAAUACAUGCAUCAUUCGAGAGCGCAAGUGCCUUUGAUGGCUUAUGGCCUGAGGCAUGGCGUAAUUGUUUUUUUGCCUCGUCAAAAGUGUUGCUUCAGAGGACCUGAAUAUUCUUUUAAUAGGAAUCGUCUGUUUAGAUGAUCAUAAUUGCUACCAUUGGUAGAACACACUACCAAUAACAACAUGAUAGUCGUGGUGUGCAUUCUAGUCGAACAACAUAGUUUCAACUUCGAGUUAUGAUGAUAACUGUGCUCGCACUUGUGGUUCUAAAAUGUUGAUGAGCAGAGCUGAAUCUGACAAGCUACUGGCCAUUCCUGUCGGUUUUAUUGGAUCAGAAGAGGCGGUAAGGUCUGCUCCACAUCUUGUACCUGGCGGUAAUCUUGCUUGUCCUUCAUUGGAAGAACAAGGAAUGAGAAUAAAUGCUGCAUUAGACGCUGCACAUGCACCAAUUUCUCAUCUCUCGAACCUCAUUGCCGACGGCCACUGGGCUGCGAACUUCAGGGGACCUUUCCAACCAUCAGACUUUUAAUGGCUCGAAGCUUGAGCCACUUGGAUUCAUACCCUAUCCCUUACUUUCUCUGAAGGUAUUUAUGAUAUUUAACACUUAGCUCGACAUUCUGCGUCGUCGAUCUUACUUGGUUUGGACUACCUACUGGCGAAUCUCUUCAUGUAAAGGUUUGGCUUGGAAUAUUACUUGUCAGCAUAGUUGCAUAGACAUGGCGGUUCUGUUCUUUUACCCAUCAGUGCAUUCGACUCGUGGUGCAACAAAUCUGAAACAAGCUUUUAUAUGCUAUUUGAGAGUCAGCUUUCAGCAGUGAUCUCGAACAAUUUCGUGUUCUCCAAACCGAGACUUGUUCAGAGUCAUUGAAAGCCUUCAAUUUCUAACCUUGUACUAGGAAGGUCCAUCCUGCUUUAUCUGUUUCUAGAUACUUUAAAAACCAUCUAAAGUAAUUGAAAAGACCAUGCGGAAAAAGUUAAUUGCUGUUGUACUUGGCGAGGCAACCCAAGUUUAAGUAGCAGCAUGC
rnacentral:lncRNA from 1 species